AGAGUUUGAUCAUGGCUCAGAACGAACGCUGGCGGCGUGGAUAAGACAUGCAAGUCGAACGCUUGUCUCUCAGUAGCAAUAUUGAGAGGCAGGAGUGGCGCAAGGGUGCGUAACACGUGGAUCAUCUGCCUGGAAGUUCGGAAUAAUUCCGCGAAAGCGGGACUAAUGCCGGAUGUGGUUGGAAGACUAAAGCUGGGGACCCGCAAGGGCCUGGCGCUUCCAGAUGAGUCCGCGGCCUAUCAGCUAGUUGGCGGGGUAACGGCCCACCAAGGCUAAGACGGGUAGCUGGUCUGAGAGGACGACCAGCCUCACUGGAACUGAGACACGGUCCAGACACCUACGGGUGGCAGCAGUCGAGAAUUUUUCUCAAUGGGGGAAACCCUGAAGGAGCGACGCCGCGUGAGGGAUGAAGGGCUUCGGCCCGUAAACCUCUGUCAUUUGCGAACAAUGCGCCGGUAUGAACAAUAUCGGCGUUGAUAGUAGCGAAAGAGAA
rnacentral:rRNA from 1 species